CCUACGGGAGGCAGCAGUGGGGAAUUUUGGACAAUGGGCGAAAGCCUGAUCCAGCCAUUCCGCGUGAGUGAAGAAGGCCUUCGGGUUGUAAAGCUCUUUCGCAAGGGAAGAAAACUUAGAUACUAAUAUUAUCUGAGGUUGACGGUACCUUGAUAAGAAGCACCGGCUAACUACGUGCCAGCAGCCGCGGUAAUACGUAGGGUGCGAGCGUUAAUCGGAAUUACUGGGCGUAAAGCGUGCGCAGGCGGUUUUGUAAGUCAGAUGUGAAAUCCCCGAGCUCAACUUGGGAACUGCGUUUGAAACUACAAGACUAGAAUAUGUCAGAGGGGGGUAGAAUUCCACGUGUAGCAGUGAAAUGCGUAGAGAUGUGGAGGAAUACCAAUGGCGAAGGCAGCCCCCUGGGAUAAUAUUGACGCUCAUGCACGAAAGCGUGGGGAGCAAACAGGAUUAGAUACCCUGGUAGUCCACGCCCUAAACGAUGUCUACUAGUUGUUGGUGGAGUAAAAUCCAUGAGUAACGCAGCUAACGCGUGAAGUAGACCGCCUGGGGGAUACGGUCGCAAGNUUAAAACUCAAAUGAAUUGACCGGNUGAGACAGCGAGACGACGACGAGGGAGGAGG
rnacentral:rRNA from 1 species